CGGGCUAUAGCGCAGUUGGUAGCGCGCAUCGUUCGGGACGAUGAGGUCGGCAGUUCGAGUCUGCCUAGCCCGACUA
rnacentral:tRNA from 2 species